UGUGUAGGCGGACUGGCGUGCGUCUUGUGAAAUCCCCCGGCUUAACCGGGGAAUUGCUGAACGAACUACCAGCCUUGAGGCAAGUAGGGGUGCGCGGAACUCUUGGUGGAGCGGUGGAAUGCGUAGAUAUCAAGAGGAACGCCGGCGGUGAAGACGGCGCACUAGGCUUGUUCUGACGCUGAGACACGAAAGCGUGGGGAGCAAACAGGAUUAGAUACCCUGGUAGUCCACGCCCUAAACUAUGUCUACUAGGUUGCGGUCGUUCUGACACGGCCGGAGCCGAAGCAAAAGUGUUUAGUAGACCGCCUGGGGAGUACGGUCGCAAGGCUAAA
rnacentral:rRNA from 1 species